GUGCCAGCAGCCGCGGUAAUACGUAGGGUGCGAGCGUUAAUCGGAAUUACUGGGCGUAAAGUGUGCGCAGGCGGCCGCGCAAGUCGAGUGUGAAAUCCCCGAGCUUAACUUGGGAAUUGCGCUCGAAACUACGUGGCUGGAGUAUGGCAGAGGAAGGUGGAAUUCCACGUGUAGCGGUGAAAUGCGUAGAGAUGUGGAGGAACACCGAUGGCGAAGGCAGCCUUCUGGGCCAAUACUGACGCUCAUGCACGAAAGCGUGGGGAGCAAACAGGAUUAGAUACCCGCGUAGUCC
rnacentral:rRNA from 1 species